rnacentral:rRNA from 1 species
ACCUUACAAUGCUGGCAACAGCGAUAAGGGAACCUCGAGUGCCAGGUUACAAAUCUGGCUGUCGAGAUGCCUAAAAAGCAUUUCAUAGCAUGGGCCGGGCAAGACCGGUGCCAGCCGCCGCGGUAACACCGGCGGCUCGAGUGGUAACCGUUAUUAUUGGGUCUAAAGGGUCUGUAGCCGGCCGGAUAAGUCUCUUGAGAAAUCUGGCAGCUUAACUGUCAGGCUUUCAGGAGAUACUGUCUGGCUCGAGGCCGGGAGAGGUGAGAGGUACUUCAGGGGUAGGGGUGAAAUCUUGUGAUCCUUGAAGGACCACCAGUGGCGAAGGCGCCUCACCAGAACGGACCUGACGGCAAG